AGAGGCCUCCCUUCCGAGGAGGCGGUGCUGGGGCGGGCGCAGGACUGCAGGCUGGGGCUCCGCUCCCCGGCGGGAGCCCGCGCGUGGUUCCCAGCGAAGUCCCCGCGCGGCUGGGCCCAGCCCGUGUGAAGAUGUGCCUGCUUCGCCUUCCAUCAUGACUGAAGUUUCCUGAGGCCUCCCCAGCUAUGCUCCCUAUACAGCCUGCAGAACGGUCGGCUGCCUCCAAUCCUGAGGUCAUCACUCAUCAAGAGGGGAUAAUCCCAGGGACAGCAGGAUCUGCUUCGUUACUUGGAUUUAGGAGCCAGAAACCCAUCAGGCAACUAAACAGUAACAAUGACCCGCCAUUAAACACACUGAGAGAAGAGCAUGAUGAAGAGUUUGUACAAGAAGAAGCCAGGAGCACUUGCUGACAAUGCUUACAGAGACGCAGGCUUCUAUGAGCUCUGCCUGUUGAACUGCAGUAAAAAUAGAUCUCCUUCCCCAGAGAGGCUUGGAUGUGGGCACAAUAUCAGUUCAGACGAUGGUCAAUGCAUGUACUUAAUAGAGUGAAAAGACUUUGGACUGUGAAGUCAGAUUACCUGGGUCUGAAUUGUUAUUCUUCUACUUCUUUGUAGUAUGCUUUCACCACAUUAAAAAUUGUCUGAGCCUCAAUUUUUUUAUCUGCAAAAUGGAGCUAAUACCUACACAGGGGCUUUUAAGAGAAUCAAAUGCAACAAUGUUUGAAAAGCAACAUACUCCCCUUUAUGGAAAAAGAGCCUGUAAAGGAACCAAUACAAUGGCUGGGCGUGGUGACUCACACCUGUAAUCCUAGCACUUUGGGAGGCCGAGGUGGGUGGAUUGCCUGAGCUCAGGAGUUCGAGACCAGCCUGGGCAACAUGGUGAAACCCCGACUCUACUAAAAUACAAAAGAUUAUCCUGGCGUGGUGGUGUGCACCUGUUAUCUAAGCUACUUGGGAGGUUGAAGCAGGAGAAUUGCUGGAACCUGGGAGGCAGAGGUUGCAGUGAGCCAAGAUCACACCACUACACUCCAGCCUGAGUGACACAAGACUGUGUCUCAAAAAUAAAUAAAUGAAUAAGUAAAUAAAUACAAAAUAAAUAAAAUAAAGGAACCAAUACAACAAA
rnacentral:lncRNA from 1 species